rfam:Corynebacterium vitaeruminis DSM 20294, complete genome.
GGGGUCGAUGUGGUUUCGACUGCGUGCAUUAAGCCAGGGGAAGCGUGCCGGUGCAGGCUAGAGACCACCGUAUAAGCGUCGUAGCGAUCAAUAAACGCAGAGAACAACUCUCAGCGUGACUACGCCCUCGCUGCCUAAUUUCAGCGACGCGUGUCUGUCAGCCUAGGCUCCGUUCCUGGCCUAGAUCCUGGCAUCGACUAGGGAACUUGCUCUUUGAUCGAGUCAUCAGGGUCAAAGGGGACUCCCACUGCUGACUGGGCCCAUCAUCCGGAGGUGUUUGCCCCAUCCGGAGGGUCGAGCAGAGAUUCCGCGCGAACUGCGCACGGAGAAGCCCUGGCAAGGUGACGUAGGACCCGGGUUCAAUUCCCGGCGGCUCCACGG